rnacentral:rRNA from 1 species
UACGUAGGGGGCAAGCGUUGUCCGGAUUUAUUGGGCGUAAAGAGCGUGUAGGCGGCCAUGUAGGUCCGUUGUGAAACUCGAGGCUCAACCUCGAGACGCCGAUGGAAACCAUGUGGCUAGAGUCCGGAAGAGGAGAGUGGAAUUCCUGGUGUAGCGGUGAAAUGCGCAGAUAUCAGGAAGAACACCCGUGGCUAAGGCGGCUCUCUAGUACGGUACUGACGCUGAGACGCGAAAGCGUGGGGAGCGAACAGG